GUGAAAAAGGCCAAAAGGGGGAGUUGUUUUGAGUACAGUACAAGGCGACGAAAAAGUGAAAAAUAGAAUGCAAAUUUAGAAGACGGAUGGGGCACUGGACCGGACUACCGGAGCAUUGCUAUUGCAGAUUCGGAGUGGGAUACGGGCACUCCGGUUUCAGAUCUGGCAGGACCCCUCUCUGCCUGUGGUGCCUCCAUUCCAUUUCAUCUCCCCCAGUAUCUUAUUUAAAAAGUUCCGAGGGAGGUGGUCUGAAGGAAAGGAAGUGAUGAUAAAGUGGUAAAGGAAAUUCAGUGCAAAAAGAUUCAGUACUGGGUGCAGUAUCAAAUAUUCCCCCAGCCAAUAUGGGGGUGGGGGAGUGGGUCUGGUGCCCCAGAUUCCAGAACAGGGACUCCACCAUCGCAGCGCAGGCGCACCCCUCCUUUUCCCCCAACCCAACUCGCAGCAGCCACGGUGGUGGUGGUGGCUCAGGCUUGGCUUGGCUUGGCUAGCUAGUGGAUUGAUUGAUUGAUCACGAGGCGCAGGUGAACCGGGUUGCUGCUGGUGGCCUGGCCGCCGCUCUUCUCCUCCGCCUUCCCUUCCCUCACCGCCCACCACCCGCUGCUCUCCUUCUCUCUUCGCGGAGCAGGCUGGGAUUCCCUUCCCCGGCGGUGGCGGCAGGGGGAGGAGCUUCGCCUGGGAGAGGAGCUAGGGCAGGAGGAGGAAGAGGGGCGCAGCAUCCGGCAUGGCGAGCGAGGAGCUAGUCCACAAGGUCCAGGCUCUUAUAGAGCGCUGCCUUCAGGUGUAUAUGAACCAGAAAGAAGUAAUCGAUACCCUCUCUCAACACGCAAAGAUAGAGCCUUGUAUUACUGAACUUGUUUGGCGACAACUUGAGCAACAGAAUCCUCUAUUUUUCAAGGCAUACUAUAUGAGGCUAAUGCUUAAGAAUCAGAUAAUGGUCUUCAACAAGCUUCUUGAGGAUCAGCUUCAGAUCAUGAAUAAAGAAUUUCCUCCAGGGAUCCCUUCUAUGUCUCUUCCUAAUGGCUCUAACUCCAACCAAUUAAAGCAAAAUUCAUGCUUUUUGCCGGAGACUGCUCCUGGAUCUGCAGUGCCAAAUGGUAUAAUGCACAAUGGAAGUUCAAGUGGUAUAAUAAAUGGCACGCCAUCUGGUGAUCAAUUACUCAAUGCUGGUAAAGACUUGCAUGGUCUUCACAGUGGAAUUGAUGCUUCAACUAGUCUGCAGUCGGACCAGAAUGCAACUGCUGUCCUGUUUGGUGACAAUGGGGCAAGUGCGACAAUAAAGACAGAGUCUGGCUAUUCAAGUAAUGCUGAUUUUGCUUUCUGCGGGAAUACUUUCCUGGAAUCAUGCCAGUCAAUAGGUGAUGCAUCUGGUGGUGGAUCCUUCAGUAGCUCAGAGUUGAAUGGGCAACCACUGAAUGAUUCGAUUUUGGAUAUGGAAUCAUCAUCAUUUAGCUUCUUGAACCAGAUUCCGCAAAGUUUCAUCUUUUCAGACUUGGCAGAGGAUUUCAGCCAAAGUGCAGAAAUGACGCCAUUCCUCACUUCUGAAACAAAUAACUUCUCUGAUUCAACUGGAGGAGAUCAUACAGGUUGAGCAGCCAUGCACAGUGCACCAACCAUCUGUACAUACUCUUAUGCGCAGGCAAACCUGCAUUGAUGGAGAACUUGAGGACCUUUUGAGUUAGCUGUCUCUUUUCUAGUUUCUCGUCUUAUAUUGUGAUGAUAGGGUUGACUGCUGCUACCUCAUCACAGGGUAUCCUGAGUCGGUCUUCCAGUAUGCUUUCUGAUGGUAUUGUCGCGGUGCUGUACUGCUGUGUACAUUGUCGUGCUUCUGUAAUAUAAUGGUUAGGCGCAGCGGUGUAUGCAUCUGCGUUUUAUUGGGUUGUCUCACUAUCUGACUUGGCAUGGCAUGAUUGAUGAAAACUGAAAAUAAAAAAACCUGCUGAUGUUUCAUACACCUCAAUCUCUCUUGACAUACCCCAAUUUCGAGGAUAGAAACUGCCCAUGAGCUUCUUGGAAUUUGAAAGACAGAGACUA